rnacentral:rRNA from 1 species
GCCCAUAGUAUAUAGACUUCUCCUGAAGUUUAUAUUAAACAUUUAUGGCUAUUAGAUGGGUAUGCGUCCUAUUAGUUAGUUGGUAAGGUAACGGCUUACCAAGGCAGCGAUAGGUAGGGGUCCUGAGAGGGAGAUCCCCACACUGGUACUGAGACACGGACCAGACUCCUACGGGAGGCAGCAGUGAGGAAUAUUGGACAAUGGGCGAGAGCCUGAUCCAGCCAUGCCGCGUGCAGGAAGACUGCCCUAUGGGUUGUAAACUGCUUUUACAGAGGAAGAACCACCCCACGUGUGGGGGUUUGACGGUACUCUGCGAAUAAGGAUCGGCUAACUCCGUG